UAGGACUCCCGGCAAUGGAUAUCUUGGCUCUUGCAUCGAUGAAGAACGCAACGAAAUGCGAUACGUGGUGCGAAUUGCAGAAUCCCGUGAACCAUCGAGUUUUUGAACGCAAGUUGCGCCUGAGGCCAACUGGCCAAGGGCACGUCCGCCUGGGCGUCAUGC
rnacentral:rRNA from 1 species